UUUAACUGACUUUGGAAUGACCCAUGUAAGCCUAAGUAAGCUUCGGAACAUGUCCCAGAUUCUUAGGCCAAGCAUGGGAGAUAGGACUAUAGUGUAAAUGCAGUUCCAGAAAACACAAAGGAAUCUGCCUUGUUGACAUUAAUCAACAAGAAUUACAAGUCAAUACAGAAUAAUUGAAGCAUGCAGUAAUACUAUGUACAACUACUAAUCUGAAUUCUUAAAGGUAAUGGAAGUCCAAUGAACCUCAAGCUAAAAAGAGCGGACAAGUUUCCACAGCUGUACUUCUGUCUAAAUUAACUUAUCACCUCAAGAUUAUAUGAGGAAACCACAAUAAAGAUAUGAUCAAAAAGUGAAAGCAAUGACAAGUUAAGCAUAAAGGGAAAUCAAUGUUAUCUGAUCCAUAUGGCAGUUAUUGUUAUGUCAAAAAUUCUUGUUAGAAAACAUUUUAUUACUGAUCGAAUAGUGUAGAAAAAGUUACAGAGGAUUGCAUAGCUUACCCCCAAGUAUAUUGGUAAUGAGGCCUAGUUAAUUGGAUUGAUUGAUUACAAUAUAAUCGAUUGUAAUGACGCCAAUAGUAUUAGAAAGCACUCCGGUGUAUAAUUUCCAUAACUACUAAACAAGACCAUUGUGAUAAAGAUACAAUUUUUACACUGACCAUAGUCACAAUUUUUACACUAGUUUUUCACCUAAAUUCUAGUCGUAAUUGGAAUGGCCAUAAAUUGACAAAAAUUAAUAACAAAAAGUGAACUUUACAAGAAACCAGUAAUAGUUUCAGUAACCUUGUUGAUGCGUAUGGCACGAAUAGCCUCUUUAUCGGAAGUGGAAGUAGAAGUGCCGGAAUUGGACCUACGGUUGCGGCCGCCGGCUCUACCGGUAACUGCAGCUGCAGUGGCGGCAGAAGAAGAAGAAGAAGAGCAGCAACGAACAAUGAAGAAAGGAGAAGGGGGUCGAAAUCUAUGAGACCUAAAAGAAGCAAAGUGGAUAAGUUGCUUCAACGGCUGCAGGGCUUCCAUUGUUGCACUUCUCUUCUUGUUCCCCCCAGAAAGCACUAUUU
rnacentral:lncRNA from 1 species